GUGGUUUGUUACAUUGGUCAUAUUACCUAACCCUCCUAAGCAUGUUUUCUCAUCUGUAAGCUAGGAAAAAAUUAAUAAUAGUAUCUACCUCACUGAGUAGUUGGAAGGAUUAAAUAAGAAAGUACACACUACCUGGCAUAUCAUCAUUCUAUAAAUAUUUGUUGCUAUUAUCCCUCCUUACUUCAUUCCUUCCUGUAUCCCUUUCCUUCCUCUCUUCCUUCCUGUCUAACCUUUCUCCUUUGCUUCCUUCCUUUCACUACCUAGUAGGGAUGCUAAGUCACUUAAAAAUCCAUGUCCUCAAGGAGCUCAUGGCCUAAUUGAGUUGGUAAAAGAACAGAAGGUAACUCAAAGUAACAGCCAACAUAUACCAACGGUAUACAGUCAGAGAAUAAAGAGCAUGCAGAUGCUGUGGAAGCCAAAAUAAGGAAUAUGUGUGCACUGGGCCAAAAGAGAUGUUGAGUCCAUUGGGCACAGCCUGCUUAUCCUGCCUUCACUGGCACUAAGUGUGUAUCCUCUAAGGGCUCUUGCCACUCUCGGUAAGUCAAGCACAAAUCCUCCUGGCAGACACACAGAAUGCCACCUAUGUCAAUAGUGGCAACAACUUCAGAUACAAACGACUGUACAGGUUAGAAUGUCAGAGGAAGUCACAGGAUAGGUGGCUAACUCUGCAUUUGAGUGGAACAGGAAGCACUAACAUUUGUACCAGGGGAGCCUAGAUUUCAGACAUAACAAUAGAAUGAAGUAGCUUUGGAAUUUAGGCUCCUACCCACAUGGCAGCUACAAUGAAAGAGUUGCCUCUGUAAUACUUCCCUAAUUAUCUUACAGCCCUUGUCAGUGACCUGAUGAGAUGUUUCCUGUCUUACAGAUGACCAACUAGAGCAAGAAUGUUAAAUGCUAGGGAGGAAUAGGAGGAUGUCCUGGGAUGAGAGAAGAGAUUACAACACAGAAACCCCCAGUCCACUUAGUGUCCUUUGUGUGCAUGACCAUGAGGGGAAGACAUGUGCUGCUUGGUCUCCAGGAUGAACUCAUCAUGCUGCUUCCUGGCAUGUACCCAACUGUGUUUGUCAUUGGAGGAGCUCGUGGCCUCCGUGUCGCUGAGGACCGCUGUGGUGCCUUUCAGGAUAGCCCUGGUCUUUGUUGUGAGUGUGACUUCUGGGCUCCAGCAUAGAAUCCUCAUCCCACUAGCACAGCUCCUUCAUCCUGCUGGCAUAGACUUUCUGGCUUCUAC
rnacentral:lncRNA from 1 species